rnacentral:rRNA from 1 species
GAUGAACGCUGGCGGCGUGCCUAAUACAUGCAAGUCGAGCGAAUGGAUUGAGAGCUUGCUCUUAUGAAGUUAGCGGCGGACGGGUGAGUAACACGUGGGUAGCCUGCCCAUAAGACUGGGAUAACUCCGGGAAACCGGGGCUAAUACCGGAUAACAUUUUGAACCGCAUGGUUCGAAAUUGAAAGGCGGCUUCGGCUGUCACUUAUGGAUGGACCCGCGUCGCAUUAGCUAGUUGGUGAGGUAACGGCUCACCAAGGCAACGAUGCGUAGCCGACCUGAGAGGGUGAUCGGCCACACUGGGACUGAGACACGGCCCAGACUCCUACGGGAGGCAGCAGUAGGGAAUCUUCCGCAAUGGACGAAAGUCUGACGGAGCAACGCCGCGUGAGUGAUGAAGGCUUUCGGGUCGUAAAACUCUGUUGUUAGGGAAGAACAAGUGCUAGUUGAAUAAGCUGACACCUUGACGGUACCUAACCAGAAAGCCACGGCUAACUACGUGCCAGCCGCCGCUGUAA